rnacentral:lncRNA from 1 species
GAUUCAAGCAAGGGUCUUAUUCUGACUUUUUCCCCAUCCGAGUAUUGUUUGUUUUGUUUGUUUGUUUGUUUGUUUCUUUGUUUGAGACAGGUUCUUACUAUUCAGCCCUGACUGGCCUGGAUGGAACUUGUAGACCAGGCUGGCCUCAGACUCAGACAUUGGCCUUCCCCUGCCGCCUCCGCAGUGCUGGAGUUAAGGGUGUACCAGCGUGCCCCAUCAAACCUUGAGUUUUGUUUUGCUGACGUAGACUUUGAGGACCUACAUGGACUUCAGGACACUGCCAGGGAAGGUUAAAAUCAGGAUAUUAUCAGAGCAAUUGGGAGGUCUGGUCUGAGCACAGCUUUCUAGAUGUUUCUUAAGAUUUUGCUGUUUUAGUCUUACUGGUUUUAUAAAGGACAAAAUCUCAGUGUGUUAUCCAACUGGUCCCAAGCGAUCUCCAGCCAGGUAGCUGGGGCUGCAGAGUGCCUGUUGUUGGCCCACCUACAUUUCCUUGUGUUCAUUUUUGGUAUGUGUGUAUGUAUUUCUUUUUUUUUUUAAUUUCAUGUGCAUUGGUGUUUUGCCUACACAUAUGUCUGUGUAAAGUCCGAUACCCUAGAACUGUAACUAUAGGCAGUUGUGAACUGCCGUGUGUG